GAUGAACGCUGGCGGCGUGCCUAACACAUGCAAGUCGUACGAGCUCGAUCUUCGGAACGGGUUAGUGGCGCACGGGUGAGUAACACGUAGGUGACCUACCCCAGAGUGGGGGAUAACUUCUCGAAAGAGAGGCUAAUACCGCAUACACUCGGUCAUUCAUUUGGCCGAGCAAAGCUCCGGCGCUUUGGGACGGGCCUGCGUCCGAUUAGCUAGUUGGUAGGGUAAUGGCUUACCAAGGCUUUGAUCGGUAGCUGGUCUGAGAGGACGAUCAGCCACACUGGCACUGACACACGGGCCAGACUCCUACGGGAGGCAG
rnacentral:rRNA from 1 species